UACGUAGGGUGCAAGCGUUGUCCGGAAUUAUUGGGCGUAAAGAGCUCGUAGGCGGUUUGUCGCGUCGAAUGUGAAAACCCGGGGCUCAACCCCGGGCCUGCAUUCGAUACGGGCAGACUAGAGUUCGGUAGGGGAGUCUGGAAUUCCUGGUGUAGCGGUGAAAUGCGCAGAUAUCAGGAGGAACACCGGUGGCGAAGGCGGCAUCCUGGACCGAUACUGACGCUGAGGAGCGAAAGCCAGGGGAGCAAACGGG
rnacentral:rRNA from 1 species